rnacentral:rRNA from 1 species
ACUCCUACGGGAGGCAGCAGUGGGGAAUCUUAGACAAUGGGCGCAAGCCUGAUCUAGCCAGUGCCGCGUGAGUGAUGAAGGCCUUAGGGUCGUAAAGCUCUUUCGCCAGGGAUGAUAAUGACAGUACCCUGGUAAACGAAACCCGGCUAACUCCGUGCCAGCAGCCGCGGUAAUACGGAGGGGUUAGCGUUGUUCGGAAUUACUGGGCGUAAAGCGCGCGUAGGCGGAUUGGAAAGUUGGGGUGAAAUCCCGGGGCUCAACCCCGGAACGGCCUCCAAAACUAUCAAUCUAGAGUUCGAGAGAGGUGAGUGGAAUUCCGAGUGUAGAGGUGAAAUUCGUAGAUAUUCGGAGGAACACCAGUGGCGAAGGCGGCUCACUGGCUCGAUACUGACGCUGAGGUGCGAAAGUGUGGGAGCAAACAGGAUUAGAUACCCGUGGUAGCGACUGA